rnacentral:tRNA from 1 species
UCCACAGUAGCUCAGUGGUAGAGCUAUCGGCUGUUAACCGAUCGGUCGUAGGUUCGAGUCCUACCUGUCGCG